rnacentral:tRNA from 1 species
UCAAGCCAAAUUGAAUUUCACAAUUAACUUUUUAAUGUAAAUAAAAUACUUUUACCAAGCUCUAACUUG